GAUGAACGCUAGCUACAGGCUUAACACAUGCAAGUCGAGGGGCAGCGCAGUGUAGCAAUACACGGGCGGCGACCGGCGCACGGGUGCGUAACGCGUAUCCGACCUUCCCGUUACUCGGGGAUAGCCUUCCGAAAGGGAGAUUAAUACUCGAUGGUGUUGAAAUUCCGCAUGUUAUUUCAACUAAAGAUUCAUCGGUAACGGAUGGGGAUGCGUGACAUUAGGUAGAUGGCGGGGUAACGGCCCACCAUGCCCACGAUGUCUAGGGGUUCUGAGAGGAAGGUCCCCCACACUGGAACUGAGACACGGUCCAGACUCCUACGGGAGGCAGCAGUGAGGAAUAUUGGUCAAUGGCCGGAAGGCUGAACCAGCCAAGUAGCGUGAAGGAUGAAGGUUCUAUGGAUUGUAAACUUCUUUUAUACGGGAAUAAAACCACCUACGUGUAGGUGCUUGUAUGUACCGUAUGAAUAAGCAUCGGCUAACUCCGUG
rnacentral:rRNA from 1 species